AGAGAGACAGUUUUGCAUUUUAAUAGAAUAUUGGUAACGACAUAUAAUAAAAAUGAGUAAAGGUUGUUGGAAAUUCGACGAAGAAGAUAAAGCAUUAUAUAUAGACGUGGAAGAUGAAGAUACAGAAGAGGAGAAAAAAAUAAAAGUAUACAGUCAUUGGGAUCAAAUACCUGAUAUACUGCUAGAGGAAAUUUUUUCUUACUUAACUAUUCGUGAACGGUAUUAUGCAUCUCUAGUGUGUAGGUCAUGGUAUCGUGCUUUUAACUUGCAAAAUGUGUGGUCUACAUUCACAUUGGAAGAUACUACGCUUACUAGAGGAAAAUUUAAUUAUUAUAGUGGAUGGCAAUAUGUUUUGGAUCACUUGAGAACAUCCACAUGUUUAAACAAAGUUGGAAAGAAUUUUCGAUCACUGGUUUUUGAACCUAUGUUAAAUUUUUAUAAUCUUUAUGAAUUCAUGAAUAUGAUAUCUUGGUAUACAGAAAGACAAGGAUCAGAUAAUACAUCUGUGGCAGGAGUUGGCACUUACAUCCGAAGGCUUAAAUUUACAUUUCCUUGUAAUAUGGCAAACAGGGAUGAUCCUGACCGUAUUAGAUUGUUUGGUACUGGUGGAAAGUUAUUAGAAGCAUUGAAAAGGCUAAUGCGUAAUUUGCGUAAUUUAAAGUGUUUAGAAUUAAUAGAUCUCAUGUUGGAUAGUAAAGAAGCAUUACAUUUAAUGGAUGAUAUUUGUACAAAUUGUACUCAGACCCUGUCAAAACUAGUAUUAAUUAAUACUACAAGGUAUUAUUGUCCCCUGUUGCAUGUAGGAGUAUUUAUUAAUUUAAAUGUUUUAGUUAUUAGUCCUCAAAAUCUCCAUGAAGAUAUAAUAGAUUUAAUUGGUUAUACUAAAUUACAACAUCUUCACAUAGUACAAAAUCGAUAUAGUCCAAAGGACACAACUAUGAGAUUGCCUAAACGAUCUUCUUGGGUGAAAAUGAAAAUAAAUAAUCCUUAUCUUAAAGUACAUUUUGAAGUGGAAAGUCAUAAACCCACGGAUAUACUUUUGCCCAUUGAUUUACUAGAACAUGGUGGUAUUCCAUGUCACAGUAUUGUUUUAGAUAAUCCAAAUACCGAGAUUUCUGCUUCUACUAUUCUAACUCAUGGUACAUUUUUUGAAUCGACGAUAAAGAUAUACGCGUUUAAAGGUUUGACAAGAUACUUCUUGCAUAGAAAUUUUGCACAGAGAUUGGACGAAGCACUAGUGCAAUUCUGCAGAAUGUGUCCAAACCUUCAUACACUGGUAGUAUUUUGUAUUUGAACAAACUUCUGAUGUUGUAUAUGACAGCUUUCUAUAAACACUGUGGCAUUAACAAACUCCUUAUGGUGUGAUGGCAUGUGUUCAAAUCCUUGUUGUACAAAAGGUUUUAAUAUUAUUUGUGUAAGUUUUAUCUAAUUAAUCUGUAUCUCCAUAUAUGUAACACAGGCUCUAAAAAAAUUACAUUAAAACAUCUCUUAGAGCUUUUAGAGAUCUAUUUGUGUACAUAUGUUGUGUGGCAAUAUAUCAUUGGUCUGUCAAUAGUAUACAAGGCAAUAAGUUUAUAUACAGAUCAAUUCUUAGACCACAAUGACUUGGAAGCCAGUCAGUAAAAAACAAACAUUUUACCAUGACACGUUUGAUAACUAGGCUGAAGCUCUUAUGACUGAAAGCCAAAUAUUUUGUUUAGAAAAUUGCACAAGUUUAUUAAGUCAUUGUAAAAAUUUGUAUUAAUUUCGCCUAAUCUAUACAAACAGGUUUCCUUAAUAUUUGAUAUCGUUUUGUUCUCAAGUUAAUAUGCUUGUGAUGAUACGAGAUAAGAUAUCGACGGCUACAAUUUUAGAAAUCGUUUCUACUGCAAAGUCAUUGCGUUGUUUAUACGUUCGACGAAACGUG
rnacentral:misc_RNA from 1 species